rnacentral:rRNA from 1 species
GAUGAACGCUGGCGGCGUGCCUGAUACAUGCAAGUCGAGCGAAUGGAUUAAGAGCUUGCUCUUAUGAAGUUAGCGGCGGACGGGUGAGUAACACGUGGGUAACCUGCCCAUAAGACUGGGAUAACUCCGGGAAACCGGGGCUAAUACCGGAUAACAUUUUGAACCGCAUGGUUCGAAAUUGAAAGGCGGCUUCGGCUGUCACUUAUGGAUGGACCCGCGUCGCAUUAGCUAGUUGGUGAGGUAACGGCUCACCAAGGCAACGAUGCGUAGCCGACCUGGGGGGGUGAUGGGCCACACUGGGACGGGGACACGGCCAGGCUCCUACGGGAGGCAGCAGUAGGGAAUCUUCCGCAAUGGACGAAAGUCUGACGGAGCAACGCCGCGUGAGUGAUGAAGGCUUUCGGGUCGUAAAACUCUGUUGUUAGGGAAGAACAAGUGCUAGUUGAAUAAGCUGGCACCUUGACGGUACCUAACCAGAAAGCCACGGCUAACUACGUGCCAGCAGCCGCCGUAAAAC